GGAAUAAGAACACGUUGACGACGA
rnacentral:rasiRNA from 1 species